CAAACAUAUCGAUAUAAUUUUUGGCGCUUGUUUUUGUAGAACAUUGCUUUUGAUUUUUGGUGGUUGACAAACUUACGUGCACGCAUAUACAAAUGGAAGGUUGAAGUUGUGUGAAGUAUAACUGCAUAUACAUAAGUUUUCCUAGCCAAAUUUUUCUAAUCUGAGUUGAGUCAAGCGUGCAUAACUGGAGCUUUAUAUACUGAACACAAUGACGACGAUACGACACGACGUAGCGACGGCUGAUUACAAAUCCCGCUUUGAAGCCAGCGUCUUCAACAUUUUGAAGACGACAGCGACAUAUCAAACAGCAAUUUCUUUGUUGCAGUACUAAAAUCUUUCACUUCAAUAAGUUUUACAUAUUUAGUUUAAAGUGAAAUUAUUUCUGCAAAAAAUUAAAAAAAAAUGGCGAUUUAUUUGUUUUAAAUAAUCGAUUGUUAUUAUAAAUGAUAUAUCAAAGCUA